AGGAGGCCAACAUCGCUUGCAGCUAAUUCAAAGGAGCUACCUGUUUCUUUCCCGAUUCAGUCUACAUCAAUGUGCUGACAAUUUUCUUAUAUACAGAGAUAUAAAGAGGCACAGAGGGGAAAAAGGCUAACACGCCAAUUCUAAAAAAAAAUGAUUUGUGUGUGUCCUUGGUGGAUUAAGAAAUUGAAAACAGCAAUCAAAAAAAUCAACAGGUAAAAACAUAUUCUUCAAAUAAUCAUUCAACAGAUUUUCACUGUGUGUCUGCUCAUUAUGCCAUCAGUCUCCUCCUAUUACAAGAACACAGAACACAACAAUAAAGGAACCCCUGUCUUUUUUUUCCCAAAUAAAUUAUUUUA